rnacentral:rRNA from 1 species
AUUGAACGCUGGCGGCAGGCCUAACACAUGCAAGUCGGGCGCGCGGCGGACGGGUGAGUAAUGUAUGGGGCUCUGCCUGAUGGCGGGGGAUAACUACUGGAAACGGUAGCUAAUACCGCAUACCAUCAGAUGAACCCAUCUGGGAUUAGCUAGUAGGUAAGUUAACGGCUUACCUAGGCGACGAGCCCUAGCUGGUCUGAGAGGAUGAUCAGGCACACUGGGACGGAGACACGGCCCAGACGCCUACGGGCGGCAGCAGUGGGGAAGAUGGCAGAAUGGGCGGAAGCCUGAUGCAGCCAUGCCGCGUGUAUGAAGAAGGCCUUCGGGUUGUAAAGUACUUUCAGUCGGGAGGCGUUACCGACAGAAGAAGCACCGGCUAACUCCGAGACAGCCGCCGCGGUAAUAC